UGGGGAAUAUUGGGCAAUGGGCGAAAGCCUGACCCAGCGACGCCGCGUGGGGGAUGAAGGUCUUCGGAUCGUAAACCCUUGUCAGGAGGGAUGAUGGGUCUGUGGGCUAAUAUCUCACAGACUUGACAGUACCUCCAGAGGAAGCCCCGGCUAACUCCGUG
rnacentral:rRNA from 1 species